rnacentral:rRNA from 1 species
UCAGGCCUAACACAUGCAAGUCGAACGGCAGCACGGGAGCAAUCCUGGUGGCGAGUGGCGAACGGGUGAGUAAUACAUCGGAACGUGCCCAAUCGUGGGGGAUAACGUAGCGAAAGCUACGCUAAUACCGCAUACGAUCUACGGAUGAAAGCGGGGGAUCGCAAGACCUCGCGCGAAUGGAGCGGCCGAUGGCAGAUUAGGUAGUUGGUGGGGUAGAGGCACACCAAGCCAACGAUCUGUAGCUGGUCUGAGAGGACGACCAGCCACACUGGAACUGAGACACGGUCCAGACUCCUACGGGAGGCAGCAGUGGGGGAUUCUGGACAAUGGGCGCAAGCCUGGUCCAGCCAUUCGCGCGUGAGUGAAGAAGGCCUUCGGGUUGAAAGCUCAAGGCAAGGGAAGAAAACUUAACCUCUAACAUAGGUGAGG